UACCAGCACCCCGAGCGGUCGGGACGAUUAUUGGGCCUAAAGCAUCCGUAGCCGGCCUUACAAGUCCCCCGUUAAAUCCAACUGCUUAACAGAUGGGCUGCGGAGGAUACUAUAAGACUAGGAGGCAGGAGAGGCAAGCGGUACUCAGUGGGUAGGGGUAAAAUCCGUUGAUCCAUUGAAGACCACCAGUGGCGAAGGCGGCUUGCCAGAAUGCGCUCGACGGUGAGGGAUGAAAGCUGGGGGAGCAAACCGG
rnacentral:rRNA from 1 species